AGCAGCCGCGGUAAUUCCAGCUCCAAUAGCGUAUAUUAAAGUUGUUGCAGUUAAAAAGCUCGUAGUUGAAUUUCGGGAUCAAUUUAUUGGUCGUGCUAUUGUACGUACUGGUAUUAUUGAUUCCUACCUUCUGACGAACCAUGAUGUCAUUAAUUUGGUGUCAUGGGGAAUCAGGACUGUUACUUUGAAAAAAUUAGAGUGUUUAAAGCAAGCUCACGCUUGAAUACAUUAGCAUGGAAUAACGAAAUAGGACGUUUGAUUCUAUUUUGUUGGUUUCUAGGAUCGACGUAAUGAUUAAUAGGGAUAGUUGGGGGCAUUAGUAUUCAAUUGUCAGAGGUGAAAUUCUUGGAUUUAUUGAAGACUAACUACUGCGAAAGCAUUUGCCAAGGAUGUUUUCAUUAAUCAAGAACGAAAGUUAGGGGAUCGAAGACGAUCAGAUACCGUCGUAGU
rnacentral:rRNA from 1 species